CCUGCGUUUUUGCAUUUUUCUCUGACCUGAAUGACUCUGGGCUUCUUUCCCUGCCUCAACUAUAACAUCUAUCUGAUAGGAAUCAAGUUUCUACUCUCCUCUUCCACUAAACUUCCUUUAUGAUCAGUUCACUGAGCCAUGUGUUGCGGCAGACUAGAUUCUUAAGGUCUUUGUUUCUGAUGCUGCAGCUCUGAGACCUGCCUGCCCAGUGAAGUCAGGUCUGUCCCUGCCUUUGCUGUGACCCUGGACCUGCCAGACCUUGGUGAGCUGGCUUCGAUUCCCAAAGAACCUUGCCCGGUACCACCUCUCACAGGAAGAAAGAUAAACAGAUCAGGAGGCGGAGAUCUCGAGAGGGAGAGAUGCCCUAGGAGCGUCAAUCAAUGGGUACAACCUGAAACCCUAUCUGUAGUAUUUAAAGCCAACACUGAGCAUGUCACACGUUCUAAGCACUUCUGAUGCCUUCAAAGAGAGACCAUGUGUCAGGCAAAGAGCACAGCUAAUUCCUCCAAAAGAAGCUGAGGCCCAGAGGGAGAAGAAAUGAAUUGCCAAGGUCAUGACACAAGCAAUAGGUGACAGAGUCAGGGUUCAAGUCCAAGCCCUUCUAAAACUCUCCAACUAGAGCUUUUUCCAGCUCCUCUGUGCUGUGAACACAUGAAUGAACGCUGACCUAUUCCUUAAUCUAAGCACCCUGCACUGUGCUGACAGUAGCUGAUGGAGAAUCACAGCUAAAGUGCAUUCUAUAGCUGAUACCACGUCAUGGAUUUUGGCCUCAAAUCGAGCGUAAUCUGGGAAUGGAAACAAAGACGGCAAGUUUGGUUCAGUGCCUUCAGAGAGUUAGAAAUGCUGCACAGUCAAGGCGGCGGCUGUUCCCCGCUGGUGCUCCUUCCUUUGCCGAGCAGCAGGGAGAUGCGCGACUCAGUAGCGGACACACACGGGUCAACUGCUCAGCAUUAUUUAUCUGCAGACACUUAUUAAGAGGAGAAAGACAAAUCAGUUACUUCCCAAAAGGUAACUAGAAAACAAAUGCCAACAAAUCCCCAACGUGUGAAGAGUCCACGGGGAGAGGUGGGCGAGGUGGGUGUCAUUAAAGAAGGGCAAUAUAAGGUAUCGUUUUGGUGAUGGAAAUGUUCGCUGUCUUGACUGGGGUAGUAGAUACAGCUACCUGCACAUGUGAUAAAAUGACACAGAACUAACUACACACAUAUGCUCACACAAAUGCGUAUAAGUGAGCCUGGGAAAACUGGAGUAAGAUUGAUGGAUUAUGUCAAUGUCAAUAUCAGUAUCCUGGCUGUGAUAAUUGCUAUAGUUUAUAAAACCGUUGGGGGAAACUGAAAGAGGUAUGUGGGAGCUCCCUGUAUUUCUUACAACUGCAUAUGAAUCUAUAAUUUUCUCAUAAUGAGAGUCUUAAUUUAGAAAAGAGGGCCAAAAAAAAAAAAGAAAGCUAAAACAAAACAAUAAUCCAAGGAAUUAUCAGUGUUAUGGGGGUUUAAGGUGCGUAUAGCUACUGUCAGUCUGACAGACCAGAGAAUCAACUGUUUGAUGGUAAAUUGUGUAAAAUAAUGCCAUUUAAUUGCAGUAAGUUUUUCUGUGGGGGUAGGGCAAGGACUACAAAAAGCUGAUCAUUUGGGAUCAAAUCUUCAUUUUUGCCUAUAACUUUAAUAUAAAAAAGUCCACAACUUCAUCAAUUCUAAGAUACACAGUACAUUUCAAUCAGCUUCUAGGAGGUCAGAAUUAGAAAUAGGGUUACAGAACACUCUCAUAUUAAAUCUAUUUUAGAAACAUUCAAAUUUGAAAAAAUAUAUGCAUCUAAAAAAAAGAAACAGCAGUAUUAUAUCAAACUGUUUCUUCAAAGAAGAGAUAUUUUUGCCAUAUGUCCAUCCAAUGAAAAGAAUGAAAGAACAGACAGGUUUUAAGAUACUGAUUAACACAGUCAGCAUGUAAAGUAAAAGCUCCUGAAGUUUUGAUAUUGUUGAUCACAACUUGUCCCGUCAUUCCCUAGGCACAACAAUGUCUUGCUUUAGAAAAAUCCAGGAGGUGAGAGGCUCAAUUUAUGCUCAAGAUAAAUGCGAAAAUGUUAGUUCAAAUUAUAAAUGGUUCUUUUAAAUACAAAGAGACUCGUCAUGAAGAAUUUUAACAGAAGUCCUCAGUUUCAAAAACAAUUUGUUUCCAAUUCAAUUUAUUCAUAACUUUUCAUGAAAACAAGAACGAAAUGAAUAUUGUAAAAGAUGACCUACUUACA